rnacentral:misc_RNA from 1 species
UGAGACCGCAUGAGGUGAGG